UACGUAGGGUGCGAGCGUUAAUCGGAAUUACUGGGCGUAAGGCGCGCGUAGGUGGUUCAGCAAGUUGGAUGUGAAAGCCCUGGGCUCAACCUGGGAACUGCAUCCAAAACUACUGAGCUAGAGUACGGUAGAGGGUAGUGGAAUUUCCUGUGUAGCGGUGAAAUGCGUAGAUAUAGGAAGGAACACCAGUGGCGAAGGCGACUACCUGGACCGAUAUUGACGCUGAGACGCGAAAGCGUGGGUAGCAAACAGGAUUAGAAACCCCUGUAGU
rnacentral:rRNA from 1 species